GAUCAUGGCUCAGGAUGAACGCUAGCUACAGGCUUAACACAUGCAAGUCGAGGGGAAACGACAUCGAAAGCUUGCUUUUGAUGGGCGUCGACCGGCGCACGGGUGAGUAACGCGUAUCCAACCUGCCCACCACUUGGGGAUAACCUUGCGAAAGUAAGACUAAUACCCGAUGAUAUCUCUAGACGACAUCUGAAAGGGAUUAAAGAUUUAUCGGUGAUGGAUGGGGAUGCGUCUGAUUAGCUUGUUGGCGGGGUAACGGCCCACCAAGGCAACGAUCAGUAGGGGUUCUGAGAGGAAGGUCCCCCACAUUGGAACUGAGACACGGUCCAAACUCCUACGGGAGGCAGCAGUGAGGAAUAUUGGUCAAUGGGCGAGAGCCUGAACCAGCCAAGUAGCGUGCAGGAAGACGGCCCUAUGGGUUGUAAACUGCUUUUAUAGGGGAAUAAAGUGAGCCACGUGUGGUUUUUUGCAUGUACCCUAUGAAUAAGGACCGGCUAAUUCCGUG
rnacentral:rRNA from 1 species